AGAGUUUGAUCAUGGCUCAGAACGAACGCUGGCGGCAGGCUUAACACAUGCAAGUCGAACGCCCCGCAAGGGGAGUGGCAGACGGGUGAGUAACGCGUGGGAAUCUACCCAAUUCUUCGGAACAACUGAGGGAAACUUCAGCUAAUACCGGAUACGCCCUACGGGGGAAAGAUUUAUCGGAAUUGGAUGAGCCCGCGUUGGAUUAGCUAGUUGGUGAGGUAAUGGCUCACCAAGGCGACGAUCCAUAGCUGGUCUGAGAGGAUGAUCAGCCACACUGGGACUGAGACACGGCCCAGACUCCUACGGGAGGCAGCAGUGGGGAAUAUUGGACAAUGGGCGAAAGCCUGAUCCAGCCAUGCCGCGUGAGUGAUGAAGGCCUUAGGGUUGUAAAGCUCUUUCAGUAGGGACGAUAAUGACGGUACCUACAGAAGAGCCC
rnacentral:rRNA from 1 species